CGUGCCUAAUACAUGCAAGUAGAACGCUGAAGAGAGGAGCUUGCUCUUCUUGGAUGAGUUGCGAACGGGUGAGUAACGCGUAGGUAACCUGCCUUGUAACGGGGGAUAACUAUUGGAAACGAUAGCUAAUACCGCAUAACAAUGGAUGACACAUGUCAUUUAUUUGAAAGGGGCAAUUGCUCCACUACAAGAUGGACCUGCGUUGUAUUAGCUAGUAGGUGAGGUAAUGGCUCACCUAAGCAACGAUACAUAGCCGACCUGAGAGGGUGAUCGGCCACACUGGGACUGAGACACGGCCCACACUCCUACGGGAGGCAGCAGUAGGGAAUCUUCGGCAAUGGGGGCAACCCUGACCGAGCAACGCCGCGUGAGUGAAGAAGGUUUUCGGAUCGUAAAGCUCUGUUGUAAGUCAAGAACGGGUGUGAGAGUGGAAAGUUCACACUGUGACGGUAGCUUACCAGAAAGGGACGGCUAACUACGUGCCAGCAGCCGCGGUAAUACGUAGGUCCCGAGCGUUGUCCGGAUUUAUUGGGCGUAAAGCGAGCGCAGGCGGUCUUGAUAAGUCUGAAGUUAAAGGCUGUGGCUCAACCAUAGUUCGCUUUGGAAACUGUCAAACUUGAGUGCAGAAGGGGAGAGUGGAAUUCCAUGUGUAGCGGUGAAAUGCGUAGAUAUAUGGAGGAACACCGGUGGCGAAAGCGGCUCUCUGGUCUGUAACUGACGCUGAGGCUCGAAAGCGUGGGGAGCGAACAGGAUUAGAUACCCUGGUAGUCCACGCCGUAAACGAUGAGUGCUAGGUGUUGGGUCUUUUCCGGGAUUCAGUGCCGCAGCUAACGCAUUAAGCACUCCGCCUGGGGAGUACGACCGCAAGGUUGAAACUCAAAGGAAUUGACGGGGGCCCGCACAAGCGGUGGAGCAUGUGGUUUAAUUCGAAGCAACGCGAAGAACCUUACCAGGUCUUGACAUCCCGAUGCUAUUUCUAGAGAUAGAAAGUUACUUUGGUACAUCGGUGACAGGUGGUGCAUGGUUGUCGUCAGCUCGUGUCGUGAGAUGUUGGGUUAAGUCCCGCAACGAGCGCAACCCCUAUUGUUAGUUGCCAUCAUUCAGUUGGGCACUCUAGCGAGACUGCCGGUAAUAAACCGGAGGAAGGUGGGGAUGACGUCAAAUCAUCAUGCCCCUUAUGACCUGGGCUACACACGUGCUACAAUGGUUGGUACAACGAGUUGCGAGUCGGUGACGGCGAGCUAAUCUCUUAAAGCCAAUCUCAGUUCGGAUUGUAGGCUGCAACUCGCCUACAUGAAGUCGGAAUCGCUAGUAAUCGCGGAUCAGCACGCCGCGGUGAAUACGUUCCCGGGCCUUGUACACACCGCCCGUCACACCACGAGAGUUUGUAACACCCGAAGUCGGUGAGGUAACCUUUUGGAGCCAGCCGCCUAAGGUGGGACAGAUGAUUGGGGUGAAGUC
rnacentral:rRNA from 1 species